AGAUAAUCCAGACAUAAUGUCUGAUGCCUUCGGGAACCAAAUUGCAACAAUGGAUAUUAAUCUGUCAAAUGAUCCAAAUAUCGGGCCUAAUGAGUUUUUUAAUCCGAGUACUAUACCUCAUGCACCAAAUGAUCCAAUUAGCACAACAUCCGAUGCUCUAAAUAUGAUACGUAUUGUGCCAGAUGAUUCAAAUCUAGACUCAGUAUUUGAUGGCUUCACUCUAGAGAUGCUGUUUACGGAUCCAUUGGAUGAUGAGAACUUCAUUGUGGACAAUCCAAAUGAGGCGGCUAACAGUGAUAAUUCGAAAACAAUGCCGCCUCCUCUUGCAGGG
rnacentral:lncRNA from 1 species